AGGCGACGACGGGUAGCCGGCCUGAGAGGGCGACCGGCCACACUGGGACUGAGACACGGCCCAGACUCCUACGGGAGGCAGCAGUGGGGAAUAUUGGGCAAUGGAGGAAACUCUGACCCAGCGACGCCGCGUGCGGGAUGAAGGCCUUCGGGUUGUAAACCGCUUUCAGCAGGGAAGAAGCGAAAGUGACGGUACCUGCAGAAGAAGCACCGGCUAACUAUGUGCCAGCAGCCGCGGUAAUACAUAGGGUGCAAGCGUUGUCCGGAAUUAUUGGGCGUAAAGAGCUCGUAGGUGGUUCGUCACGUCGGAUGUGAAACUCUGGGGCUUAACCCCAGACCUGCAUUCGAUACGGGCGAGCUUGAGUAUGGUAGGGGA
rnacentral:rRNA from 1 species